GUUGCAAGAGUGAUUCUGGAAGCCUGAAGCGCCUAAGCAGCUCCUAAUCAACAAUUUAACGGUUCAAUAUUAUGGAAUGGUGAAGAGAUGAUAGAGCAAAGAAGAAAGAAACGUUGAAGGGAAGCAAUGUUCUUUCAGCAAAUGGUUGGGCUUAGAAAGUGUUCAAGUAAAUUUUGUGUUAUUGCCUCAGCCCAUUCUCUUUUGCCACCUCAGCACCCC
rnacentral:lncRNA from 1 species